rnacentral:rRNA from 1 species
GUAACAUGGUAAGUAUACCGGAAGGUGUGGGAUAAA